CGGCAGCGGGGGCUUCGGCCUGCCGGCGAGUGGCGAACGGGUGAGUAAUGCAUCGGAACGUGCCUAGUCAUGGGGGAUAACUACGCGAAAGCGUAGCUAAUACCGCAUACGCCCUGAGGGGGAAAGUGGGGGAUCUUCGGACCUCACGUGAUUGGAGCGGCCGAUGUCAGAUUAGCUAGUUGGUGAGGUAAAGGCUCACCAAGGCGACGAUCUGUAGCGGGUCUGAGAGGAUGAUCCGCCACACUGGGACUGAGACACGGCCCAGACUCCUACGGGAGGCAGCAGUGGGGAAUUUUGGACAAUGGGCGCAAGCCUGAUCCAGCCAUGCCGCGUGAGUGAAGAAGGCCUUCGGGUUGUAAAGCUCUUUCGCAAGGGAAGAAAACGUGUGGGCUAAUAUCCUGCGCGGAUGACGGUACCUUGACAAGAAGCACCGGCUAACUACGUGCCAGCAGCCGCGGUAAUACGUAGGGUGCGAGCGUUAAUCGGAAUUACUGGGCGUAAAGCGUGCGCAGGCGGUUGUG
rnacentral:rRNA from 1 species